rnacentral:lncRNA from 1 species
AAAAAAGGCAACAAUAUUUUAAGUGGCAUUAAUGUUUUAGCAAUUUCCUUUCUUCGCCAAGAGGUGUCAUCUGGCAGGCAAGGGAAUAUCCCACUCUCUCCUUGCCUAGUUAAAAUGUGUGGCUCUCCUGAGGAGAAGAAAGUAACAUUUGGCAACAGAUUGAUAGAUUUAAACACCAACUAAUAGAAAUGGUAUGUGAAUAAGUCAGCAACAUCUACCCCUCACUUGUGUAUUAAUUGAUAUGUACAAUGCACUCAAAAACACAGCUGCUAAAGGUCUUUUAGGUUAAACACAAAAACAUUAUGACUCUCACCAUUUUUUUCAUUUAACAGUAAUCUGAUUUCAGCCACAGCAGCACAUUAAAAUCCCACUUCUAGAAAACCUCUUCCUGUCAUCUUUUUCUCUCCAGGGCACUUGAUGUACCACUUUAAAGAACCCCACUGUUAGAAUGAACGCCUCCAGAUAUCAUUGUCCAUUGAAGCUAGCUUAAACAGACAUGAUGAGUUGUAAAGCCAACUGAAAGAGUUCCUUCAAGAAGUUCCUCUAACAGGAAGCUAGAAGUGUGGAAUGAAGUUUUACUUGAAAGAAGGACCUUUACAUGGCAGCUAACAAUGCUUUUUUGCUGACCGGGAUUGGUUUAUAUGAUUAAAUUAAUAUUUGCUUAAUAAUACACUAAAAGUACAUGAACAAUGUCAUCAAUGCCACUUAAAAGUGAGAAAAAAGAAUAUAUACAUAAUUUCUGAUGGAAAACCUGUACCCUGAUGCUGAAUAAUUAAUGUAUGUUGAAUGUGGUCCCAGAUUAUUUCUGUAAGAAGACACUCCAUGUUGUCAGCUUUGUACUCUUUGUUGAUACUGCUUGUUUAGAGAAGGGUUCAUAUAAACACUCACUCUGUGUCUUCAACAGCAUCUUUCUUUCCCCAUCUUUCCAUUUUCUGCACCCUCUGCUUGUUCCCUCAUAUUCUGUUCUUCCGACUCCUGCUAACACACACGCAACAAAAAAGGGAAGUGAGUGCUUAUUUCACCUUGUGUAAGGACUGUGAAAUCAUGAUGUCAAAUAAACAUGGUGAAACAUUAAAAAAAAAAAAAAGAAGGCUCCAAGUCCAUCUUUUAAAGCUGGUCUUUUAAAUCUGGUGAGAGGCACUGAGGGAGAAGAGGGGAGACAUGGACACUAAUCUUUUAUUUUGUACUUCUAUAUUGUUUGAAUCGUAAUAGAAUGCAAAUAUUAAAUUAUAAGUACAUUAUUUACUAUUUCCUUCUCCUUUCUUUUAUGGAAAUUGGGCCUAGAGAUUGCAC